UAGCCACGGUAAUACCAGCUUCUCGAGGUGGUGGGGGCGAUUAUUGGGCCUAAAGCGUCCGUAGCCUGCUUGUCAAGUCCUCCGUCAAAUCCGACGAUUCAAUCGUUGGGUCGCGGGGGAUACUGUCAAGCUAGGGGGCGGAAGAGGCUGACGGUAUUCGUCAGGGUAGGGGUGGAAAUCCUAUAAUCCUGGGAGGACCACCAGUGGCGAAGGC
rnacentral:rRNA from 1 species